rnacentral:rRNA from 1 species
CCUACGGGAGGCAGCAGUGAGGAAUAUUGCACAAUGGAGGAAACUCUGAUGCAGCAACGCCGCGUGGAGGAUGACGCAUUUCGGUGUGUAAACUCCUUUUAUGAGUCAAGAAAAUGACGGUAGCUCAUGAAUAAGCACCGGCUAACUCCGUGCCAGCAGCCGCGGUAAUACGGAGGGUGCAAGCGUUACUCGGAAUCACUGGGCGUAAAGGACGCGUAGGCGGACUAGAAAGUCAGAUGUGAAAGCCUAUGGCUCAACCAUAGAAUUGCAUUUGAAACUUCUAGUCUAGAGUGUGGGAGGGGGAGAUGGAAUUAGUGGUGUAGGGGUAAAAUCCGUAGAUAUCACUAGGAAUAUCUAAAGCGAAGGCGAUCUCCUGGAACAUUACUGACGCUGAGGCGUGAAAGCGUGGGGAGCAAACGGGAUUAGAUACCCGAGUAGUC